rnacentral:rRNA from 1 species
CCUACGGGGAGCAGCAGUGGGGGAUAUUGCACAAUGGGGGAAACCCUGAUGCAGCGACGCCGCGUGUGGGAAGACGGUCCUCUGGAUUGUAAACCACUGUCCCCAGGGACGAAAAUGACGGUACCUGGGGAGGAAGCUCCGGAUAACUACGGGCCAGCAGCCGCGGUAAUACGUAGGGAGCGAGCGUUGUCCGGAAUUACUGGGUGUAAAGGGAGCGUGGGCGGGGAUGCAAGUUGGGUGUAAAAACUACCGGCUCAACUGGUAGUCGCACUCAAAACUGCAGCUCUGGAGUGAAGUAGAGGCAGGCGGAAUUCCUAGUGUAGCGGUGAAAUGCGUAGAUAUUAGGAGGAACACCAGUGGCGAAGGCGGCCUGCUGGGCUUUUACUGACGCCGAGGCUCGAAAGUGUGGGGAGCAAACAGGAUUAGAUACCCCUGUAGUC